AGAGUUUGAUCCUGGCUCAGGACGAAUGCUGGCGGCGUGCUUAAUAUAUGCAAGUCAAGGAGAAAAGUGUUCUUCGGAGUACUAAGUAAACUGGCGAACGGGUGCGUAAUAUGUAGGCAAUUUGUCCUUAGGUUGGGGAUAACUCUGCUAAAGCGGAGUUAAUAUCGGAUGUAGUUCAGAUGGCAUAAGUCGUUUGAAUAAAAGAUGCCCUCGGGUAUCGCCUGAGGAUGGGCCUGCGCCCCAUUAGUUAGUUGGUGAGGUAAUGGUUCACCAAGAUUGUGAUGGGUAGCCGAUUUGAGAGGGUGAUUGGCUAUAUUGGGAUUGAGAUACGGCCCAGACUCCUACGGGAGGUAGCAGUGAGGAAUAUUGCGCAAUGGGCGAAAGCCUGAUGCAGCAACGCCGCGUGAGUGAUGAAGCUCUAAGGAGCGUAAAGCUCUGUUAGGAGGGAAGAAUAGUACUGAUUCGAAUAGGCUCAGUAUUUGAUGGUACCUCCAAAGAAAGCCCCGGUUAACUCCGUGUUAGUAGUUGUGGUAAUACGGGGGGGGCAAGCGUUGUCCGGAAUUAUUGGGCGUAAAGGGCGUGUAGGCGGAAUAGUAUGUCAGAGGUGAAAAUUACGGGUUUAACUCGUAGUUUGUCUUUGAAAUUGCUAUUCUUGAGUGUGGGAGAGGAGAGUGGAAUUCCUGGUGUAGCGGUGAAAUGUGUAGAUAUCAGGAAGAAUACCGGUAGUGAAGGUGGCUCUCUGGUUUGUAAUUGACGCAGGCGCGAAAGCGUGGGGAGUAAACAGGAUUAGAUAUCCUGGUAGUCCACGCUGUAAACGUUGGGUAUUAGGUGUUGGUCUACGUUUAGUGGAGCAGUGCCGAAGCUAACGUAUUAAGUACCCCGUUUGGGGAGUAUGAUUGUAAGGUUGAAAUUUAAAGGAAUUGACGGGGACCCGCACAAGCGGUGGAGCAUGUGGUUUAAUUUGAUGCAAUGUGAAGAACCUUACCUGGGCUUGAAGUGCAGUCGCAACCCGGUGAAAGUUGGGUUUUUUUUGGGACGGCUGUAGAGGUGCUGUAUGGCUGUCGUCAGCUCGUGCCGUGAGGUGUUGGGUUAAGUUUUGUAACGAGCGCAACCCUUAUUUUUAGUUGUUAUUAGGUUAAGUUGGGUAUUUUAAGGGGACUGCCCCGGAUAACGGGGAGGAAGGUGGGGAUGACGUUAAGUCUUUAUGGCCCUUACGUCCAGGGUUAUAUACGUGCUACAAUGGUCGGUAUAGAGGGAAGUAAUAUUGUGAGGUGGAGUAGAUCCCUUAAAACCGGCCUUAGUUCGGAUUGUAGUCUGUAAUUUGACUACAUGAAGUCGGAAUCGCUAGUAAUCGCGGAUUAGUAUGCCGCGGUGAAUACGUUCCCGGGUCUUGUACACACCGCCCGUCACGCCAUGGAAGUCGGUAGUAUUUGAAGUUAGUGGCCUAAUUUUUUGGGGAAGGAGCUGCUGAAGGUGAGAUUGAUGAUUGGGGCGAAGUUGUAAUAAGGUA
rnacentral:rRNA from 1 species